rnacentral:rRNA from 1 species
UCUUAGCUUGCUAAGGCCGAUGGCGACCGGCGCACGGGUGAGUAACACGUAUCCAACUUGCCGUCUACUCUUGGACAGCCUUCUGAAAGGAAGAUCAAUACAAGAUGGCAUCAUGAGUUCGCAUGUUCACAUGAUUAAAGGUAUUCCGGUAGACGAUGGGGAUGCGUUCCAUUAGAUAGUAGGCGGGGUAACGGCCCACCUAGUCUUCGAUGGAUAGGGGUUCUGAGAGGAAGGUCCCCCACAUUGGAACUGAGACACGGUCCAAACUCCUACGGGAGGCAGCAGUGAGGAAUAUUGGUCAAUGGGCGAGAGCCUGAACCAGCCAAGUAGCGUGAAGGAUGACUGCCCUAUGGGUUGUAAACUUCUUUUAUAAAGGAAUAAAGUCGGGUAUGUAUACCCGUUUGCAUGUACUUUAUGAAUAAGGAUCGGCUAACUCCGUGCCAGCAGCCGCGGUAAUACGGAGGAUCCGAGCGUUAUCCGGAUUUAUUGGGUUUAAAGGGAGCGUAGAUGGAUGUUUAAGUCAGUUGUGAAAGUUUGCGGCUCAACCGUAAAAUUGCAGUUGAUACUGGAUAUCUUGAGUGCAGUUGAGGCAGGCGGAAUUCGUGGUGUAGCGGUGAAAUGCUUAGAUAUCACGAAGAACUCCGAUUG